GUUCCAGUAGCUUAAGCACACAUUAAAGCAUGACACUGAAAAUGCCACGACGGAUAUAUCCACAUCCCAGGAACA
rnacentral:tRNA from 1 species